rnacentral:sRNA from 16 species
AGCAAGACACUGCGUUCAGGCUCUCGAUACGCCGGGAUAACCUGGCGUCAGACCUGCCGGAACUUAGCAGGGAAUCGUUACGGAUCUGCUGUAUAGCCGGAUCCACACGACGCAGGU